rnacentral:rRNA from 1 species
AUUCCAGCUCCAAUAGCGUAUAUUAAAGUUGUUGCAGUUAAAAAGCUCGUAGUUGGAUUUCUGGCGGGAGCGGCCUGUCCUGCCCUUUGCGGGGUUGAGCACAAGCGCUGCAUCCGGCCAUCCUUGUGGAGAGCGUUUCUGGCAUUCAGUUGUCGGACUCGGGAUCCGCAUCGUUUACUGUGAAAAAAUUAGAGUGUUUAAAGCAGGCAUUUGCUUGAAUACAUUAGCAUGGAAUAAUAAGAUAGGCCUUGAGCUCUAUUUUGUUGGUUUCUAGAGCUGAGGUAAUGAUUAAUAGGGGUAGUUGGGGGCAUUCGUAUUUAACAGUCAGAGGUGAAAUUCUUGGAUUUGUCAAAGACGGACUACUGCGAAAGCAUUUGCCAAGGAUGUUUUCAUUA